UGCCAGCAGCCGCGGUAAUACGUAGGGGGCAAGCGUUAUCCGGAAUCACUGGGCGUAGAGGGUGCGUAGGCGGUUAUUCAAGUCAGAAGUGAAAGGCUAUGGCUCAACCAUAGUGAGCUUUUGAAACUGGAUAACUUGAGUGCAGGAGAGGAAAGUGGAAUUCCUAGUGUAGCGGUGAAAUGCGUAGAUAUUAGGAGGAACACCAGUGGCGAAGGCGACUUUCUGGACUGUAACUGACGCUGAGGCACGAAAGCGUGGGGAGCGAACAGGAUUAGAUA
rnacentral:rRNA from 1 species